UCGUUGUGAGGUGUCCACCGAGACAACUGAGAACGGCAUCGUGCACCACCACCCCCUCCCUUUCCCCACCCUCCCCUUAACCCUCCUCCUCCUCCUCUGGCCGUUGUUGCGCUUCUGCUGCUGCAGAGUCCAAGUUCAGGUGAGCCCGGUCUCCGGUACAACAAGUACCUCCUCUCUCCCUAACCGGGGGAUGCUCGCCUCCUCCCGUUAAACGCCAUGCUAUAAAUGGGCCGCACAGGAUGUGAAGCCUCACCAGAAGAAGCAGGAGGAUGGCUAAACCAGGCUUGUCUGCGGCGGUGCUGCCGCUCCUGCUGGGCUUCCUCUCAGCGUCCUCCGUUAAUGCCGACACCCUGCUGUCAGCACCGCUCAAUGUGACCAUCAGAGAACUCGAGGUUAACUCUGCUGUGGUUACGUGGGAAAUCUUGGAGGGAGACCCUGUCAUCGGAUUUGCCAUCACCCAACAGAAGAAGGAUGUACGCAUGCUGAGGUUCAUCCAGGAAGUGAACACCACCACACGCUCCUGUGCAUUGUGGGAUCUGGAUGAGGACACCGAGUACAUCGUCCACGUUCAGAGCAUUAGCAUGGGAGGAAGCAGCCCUCCAAGUCAGCCUGUGCUAUUCAGAACGCCAAAAGAGUCCGAGAAGAUGGCUUCCAAAAGCCCUGACGAGGUGACGAUGGAGGAGGUCGGCGAUGCUGCCCAGCUGAGGGCGGGAGAACUCAUCAUCAUCGUAGUGGUGCUCGUCAUGUGGGCAGGUGUGAUCGCCCUGUUUUGUCGUCAGUAUGACAUCAUUAAGGAUAACGAGCCCAACAACAACAAGGACAAAGCCAAGAACUCCUCAGAGUGCAGUACCCCAGAGCACCCGCAGGGGGGGUUACUGCGAAGCAACGUCUAAGAUCAGCCCUGCGUCACCUUCUGCAAUAACCAACUCCUUAAACCUCAGGACAGAUCCUGAGACCAACGGAAAGCCAUUCUCAGAAAAUAUACUCAAGAACAGAUAAUUCAUUACAGAAACUCUUCUUGACACAAUGGAGAGCUCUGCAGCUACAACAGGCACAAAUGUGAACUUGCAAAAUGAAAAGCUGCAAAACAGUGAAAGAGGAAACACCAGAUGAUAAAACUCCUUUCACUUUUGUAGCAACCCAAAAAUGGAUCGCGGCUGAUGCAGACACGAGAUAUUAAAUGGCUGUCGGUCAAGCUCUUCUUGACGAGAACUGCUUAACCCGUAUGUUCCAGUUACUCCACAUCGGUGGCAUCCAAUCCCAGGAGUGAAUCAUUACACAUGAAUGUCAGCUUCAGGUUUGUAUCAUCGGUCAGAGAUGGCAGAAGUGCAGACUGCCACACACGAAUAGCUGGUCAAGGAACCAGUCGGCACACAACAAAACAAGCUAAAGACUUUCUCUUUUUCUAUGUCUGUCCAUCUGCAUCACCUCCUUUCUGUCUUUAUAACAGCCCUCUGUGUAGCAGCUCAUCUCUCUCCCUUUCUCUCUGUGUCGAUGUCUCAAUGAUAAGCACAUUGCUGUUUGGUGCUUCUCCUGUGAUUGUUUUAGCCCUUACAAUCCCAGUCCUGAUUAUGGAAUGAUUAUAUUGUUGGGUCGGAAGUAUUAAAAAACUCAGUUAUUUGUUUUUAAGGUUAGAUUUAGGAGUUUUCCUUCUCGCUUAAAGGGACUCUUAAGUCCAGCUUGUUAAUUCGGGGAUAAAAGAUCAGGACAACGUGAAAAACCAUGCAUGUGCACAGUUGCAGCCAAUUUGUUACCAGUUAGCCAGCUAUAAUUGUCUGUGCAUCGGGGAGGAAAAAGACUGGCGUAGCUGGAAAUAACAGAUUUCUGUUCGUAUUGAGGGUUACUGCUCAUUAAUGCAUAUGCAGCACCAUAUGUCAUCUGCAAUCUGCAGCGGGAUGUGAAGGGAAUAUGGAUGAAGAUAUGUAGGGCAUGUUCCUAAUGAAAUGUAUACAAAGGGUAAAAUGUUUGCCCGAGUUUCUUGAAGACCAAUAAGGGAAGCUGAGAAGUAGAAACCUUGAGAUGUUGUCCAGUCACAGUCAGACCUGUUUUUAUGCCCACCGGUAGCUAUGAGUUGGAGUGGGUUCAGCACAGCUAAACAAGCAUAUUGUCCAGGAAUUGUCCAGGAAACAAUUUGUUGAUUGUGAAGACUUUGAGAGAACAAUUUCAUGAAAAGAAAACUUCAGUAUUGGCUUGUGUUUAAGUUAGGGUGAGGGUUUUGGUUGGGGUCAUCAGCAAUGACAACUCAGCCCACACAGGGUUUACAAAUAGAGUGGCUGAACCUUUUGACUCCACAUGUACAAAACUGGCUUGUUGAUUGGUUAGGUGUUUGUGUGCAAUUUAGGUUUUCGUAUGACUUUAAUAUGCUAAUCUUUAGACUGCUCGCCUGCUUUCCUGUAGUCUGGGCAAUGGUUAUGCCUACCCCUGAAGUAGCCCACCUAUUAUUCCCACACUCCACCUCUCCAGUCCAGGACUAUAAAAAACAGUCCUGCCACUUUUGUCACAGUAAGUAACAAACUAAGUGAUAUGAGGCUUUGUCCUGUAGAUUUAAUCACCCAAACUUUGAUUGACUGACGAUGACUGAAAACCUGGAUAGUGAUAUAAUCUAUGUGCUACUAAGUGUAUUUUUCAGUUGUUACAAUAACUAAAAAUACAACUUAAACAUGUGUCAUUAUCUUUAAUACUCUUGACAGUUGAACAGUUCAAAUUCAUAUUCAUGUCUAAUGUAACAACCAAACUAAUCCGUUUUAUGUGGCCCAACCACGGAAGGAUUAAGUUUUUGUAUUGAUCCGAUACCAAUUAAUACAUAACAGGCAUUACCAAUACUAAUACUGCUACUCUUGACCUAUGAAGGCAGCUUAUGUAGGGCAGAGCAGUGUGUCAGGAUUUAUGAGAUGAAUCGUUAAUUUGCAAAUUUUAAACACUAAAUCAUCAUAAUUUUUACUUUCCGUAAUAAUUAGUUAACACAACGAAACACAACCUUCAGCUUUUCAUGUAUUUUCAAAAUGAAUUUUUUUGAGAUCUGGAGUGUAAAUGUGCCUGUCUCUAAAGCACCGUGGGUCAACUUCUGCUGUUAAAAUGGGCUAUAGGAUAUGAAUAAAAUAGACAUGACAGUCAACACAAAAAAGGGAAGACACUUUUCAUAGUGUGUGUUUAAAGUAUUUUUUUUUAUUUCCCAAAAAAGUUAUUUAACACACUUCAGUGGGCUCCAUAUUGAACUUAGAAGACGGAAUCAAAGUAUUGAUUGUAUUACACUAGUAUCGAUCCUAACAAUAGGUGGGUGGAUCCAACCGCCUCGACUCAAGAUUCCAGCAGGGCAUUUUAUGCAGGAAGGAGUUAAUUAACAUGAAAAAAAAAAUCAUUAAAAAAAGACCAAAAUCAACAAUCAAUUAGUCCUGCUACAAAGUAUGUCUAACCAUAGCAUUUUAUAAUUAGCUUUGGGGAGGGUGUGGCUCAGGAGGUAGAGCGGGUCAUCUACCAAUCAGAAGGUUGGUGGUUUAUUCCCGUGUCUGUGUGUUGAAGUAACAUUGGGCAAGAUACUGAGCUCCAAGUUGCCCCAGAUGCAUCCAUCGUGUGCGUGAAUGUUAGAUGAAGGCACUUGUCUAACAAGAUCUAGAAAAAAGAGUCACUGGAUGAAUGAGGCUUGCAGUAAAAACCGAUCUCAGAGUUAAAAGAGCGCUAUUUAAUAGCAGUCCCCAACCUUUUUUGCGUAGGGUAUGAAUAACCCUAUUCAUAACACACGGGAAAAGACCCAGGGAAUCCGAAUUAAUGAUAAAAAUGAUAGAAAAUAACGAUAAAAACUGAUAAAAACCCUGAAAACAAUCAAUUUCACACCUGAGCCUCAACUCUCGUGGCCCGUUAUGAAACGCCUCACAGACCAUUACCGGUCCGUGGCCCAGGGGUUGGGGACCACUGCUAUAUAAGUACCAGUCCAUUUACCACCAGUGUGUACUUAACAGCAGCUGAAAGUAGUCCCCAACAUAUAUAAUCUGCUAAUUCCUGAUUAAGCAACAUUUGUGGGUAAAAAAAAUCAUAAUUGCCCAGAUGUUCCAUGUUUAAAAAAAGAAAGUAGAUGUGUUUAUGGCAGUUCUAAAGGUUUAUGUCUUCAGUCGGAGCAGAUGGAUGAAAAGUGAGCGCUGCGGGCAGAUUAGCGAACAGAUUGUUGGUUUUAGUCUUUUCUCGGGAUUUGCAGACAAAAACAUAUAUAUGUAAAAUAAGGAGAAGCUAAUUCUCAAAAGCAAAAACAAAUGGAGAUUAUAUUUGAAGUCAAGGGAAAUCAUAAUUUGCUACCUAAGCUUUUAAGCAGAUGUGGAUACAAUAUUAAUAAAUGAGAAAUCCAAUGUACAUUUUUAUAGUGUUACUACUCUAAGGGAUACAGAAGAAGGACCGAAACACAUCAUCUGGCUAAAGAUAAAGGCUUCUUUUUAUUUUAAAGUUUCCUGUUGAAUUAUAUUGUAUUAUCUGCACAAAUAUAUUGGACAGCAGCCCCUUUACACAAAUGCUCUCUAGUUGAGUUCCCUCAAAAAGUCAGACAGAAAAAUGCUGCGAAACUGAACUCAGCAGAGUUGCAUCCUUAUUAGAGAUAAUGAGUGAAUGUCUGAAUGCCUCGCUGGUUGAGAUGGCUGCUAAAAAGGAGCACGUAUACGCACAUAUACGAUUUAAAUACUGCCGCGUGCUGAGAGAGAGCAGGGCUUUGCGUUCUCAUCAAAAUCAAUUCUGCCAAGGCCUCGCCCUGCCAUCCAUUUUUCACCCUCUCCCUACUUUAUCAGCCUUUCUUUUUUCUUCCUCUGUCCCCAGCCACCUUUAUCCACCUGCAUUCUCCCCCAUUUAUGACUCCACCCUCACUUUCAAUCCCUCUGUCACAAUACUCUUUUCUUCAUAUAUCACAUCACCCUUCCUUGUUUCUACCCUUCACUAGUCUCGUCCUCUCUCUUCUUUCCUCUCCCCUGAUUCUCAUUAUAUCCACUUUCAGGCUCCCGUUAGCUGCCUUCUCCCUCUCGGCAUCAGCUCUGCUCUCUCUCAUUCAUUCGGCCCCGGCCCACUGCCUAUCUCUCGCUUGCUCUUCUGCCCAUUUAUCACCUUUUUGUCUCAGACUGGCUGAGAUGGACACUUUACCUGGUAAACAAGUGAAAAAAAAUAGACUAAAGGGAGGAGGAAAAUGAGAGAAUCAGUGAAGGAGAACUCUUGAGGAAAGGGAAAAAUAAGAUAAGUAGAGGAAUUUUUCACUGAUAAGCACAUUUAAGUAUAGCCUAAGCAGCACUUUUUACACAGUUUGGGGCUUUUCUAAAACAAACAAACAAAAAAAUCUGAAUGCAAAAGCGUAAAAACUUGCAUUUACACUAAUAACUGUUAGCAUGUCUGGUUAACUAGCUAACUAGACAGUCCUAUUCUAAACCAGCAUUGUGUUUAUGCAGCAUUUCUGACAUUGUGGAUGCUAGCAUUUCAUAGUUGCUAAUUAGCUAGCCUGCACUCUGUAUUGGAUUUGGGUAAACCGCACCAGCCACUAAAUGUACCAAGCACAUUGGUUAGUCUUUAUCCUUAAAGCCCUUUGUCUUUUGAUGUGAGAAUGGUUUGAAUGUAAUAGUAAGGCCUUUAAUAUUUCUUUAUUAAUACUAUACUUGUACUAUAUUUACCAGACCAGUCCUCUGAAAACCACAAGUCUUUAAGCUAUAGGAGAGAGAAAUAACAUCAUAGAAGAGACAUAAAAUUAGUCAAAAAAAUAUCCUAAAUACAUUUAGAAUAUAUUUAGAACAACAAAUUAAAUUUCUUUUAGCAAUUAUUGUUUUUUUAAUGUCCCAAUUCCAACCCUCCUCCUUUAUCCAGGCUUGGGACCAGUCAAAAGUGACUCUGGCAGAGUUACUUCUUUUGUGUGUGUGUGUGUGUGUUUUUAAGUAGUUUUAAACCUUGUGAUCCACAAAAAGUAACAGUUAAAGAAG